rnacentral:rRNA from 1 species
GAUGAACGCUGACAGAAUGCUUAACACAUGCAAGUCGAUUCGAUUUACCUUCGGGUAUUGAGGAUGGCGGACGGGUGAGUAACGCGUAAGGAACUUGCCUCUUGGUCUGGGACAACUGUUGGAAACGACAGCUAAUACCGGAUAUUAUGAGAUUCUCGCAUGGGAAACUUAUGAAAGCUAUAUGCGCCAAGAGAGAGCCUUGCGUUCCAUUAGCUAGUUGGUGGGGUAACGGCCCACCAAGGCGACGAUGGAUAGCCGGCCUGAGAGGGUGAACGGCCACAAGGGGACUGAGACACGGCCCUUACUCCUACGGGAGGCAGCAGUGGGGAAUAUUGGACAAUGGGCCACAAGCCUGAUCCAGCAAUUCUGUGUGCACGAUGAAGGUCUUCGGAUUGUAAAGUGCUUUCAGUUGGGAAGAAGAAAGUGACGGUACCAACAGAAGAAGCGACGGCUAAAUACGUGCCAGCAGCCGCGGUAAUACGUAUGUCGCAAGCGUUAUCCGGAUUUAUUGGGCGUAAAGCGCGUCUAGGCGGAAAAAUAANUCUGAUGUUAAAAUGCGGGGCUCAACUCCGUAUUGC